AUCUCAAAUCAGGCUA
rnacentral:rRNA from 1 species